rnacentral:rRNA from 1 species
GACGAACGCUGGCGGCGUGCUUAACACAUGCAAGUCGAACGGAAAGGCCCUGCUUUUGUGGGGUGCUCGAGUGGCGAACGGGUGAGUAACACGUGAGUAACCUGCCCUUGACUUUGGGAUAACUUCAGGAAACUGGGGCUAAUACCGGAUAGGAGCUCCUGCUGCAUGGUGGGGGUUGGAAAGUUUCGGCGGUUGGGGAUGGACUCGCGGCUUAUCAGCUUGUUGGUGGGGUAGUGGCUUACCAAGGCUUUGACGGGUAGCCGGCCUGAGAGGGUGACCGGCAAAAUUGGGACUGAGAUAGGGCCCAGACUCCUACGGGAGGCAGCAGUGGGGAAUAUUGCACAAUGGGCGGAAGCCUGAUGCAGCAAAGCCGCGUGCGGGAUGACGGCCUUCGGGUUGUAAACCGCUUUCGCCUGUGACGAAGCGUGAGUGACGGUAAUGGGUAAAGAAGCACCGGCUAACUACGUG